GCAGACCUACGGGGCGCAGCAGUGAGGAAUAUUGGUCAAUGGCCGAGAGGCUGAACCAGCCAAGUCGCGUGAGGGCAGACGGCCCUACGGGUUGUAAACCUCUUUUGUCGGGGAGCAAAGCGAGUCACGUGUGACUCAUUGAGAGUACCCGAAGAAAAAGCAUCGGCUAACUCCGUGUCAGCAGCCGCGGUAAUACGGAGGAUGCGAGCGUUAUCCGGAUUUAUUGGGUUUAAAGGGUGCGCAGGCGGAGGUGCAAGUCAGCGGUCAAAUUGCGGGGCUCAACCCCGUACUGCCGUUGAAACUGC
rnacentral:rRNA from 1 species